AGUUCUCCCAUGUUAUUGAGGGUGUCGAAGUCCAUAUACCUUGUGCGAAACCAUUGUGGAGAUAUCGUUCUGGAUGCAUGAGAGGAAGCUGCUGACGCCACUGAGAGCGUAGAGAUGCUACUAACUGACCAGUCCUAACCCACUUCUUGUUCGCUGUCACUUUCAUCUAGGAAAUUAGCCUCUUUUAGAAGUUCCAACCAUCCCGUCCCGCCAUUGACGAAUCGGCAAUCAUUCAUUUAGUCUAAGUGAAACGGUUACUUUCAUUAGCAAGUGCCGCCCGGCAAGAAUGGAUUUGACGUGUGAUUCUAUUUUCAGCCACGUGUUCAACGGCACGGAUCUGCAGGUGAACAAGUCUGUGUUGAGACUGGCAAUAUGGAUGGAACGGAUUUAUUUAUUAGAGGUUGGCAUUAGGGCCGAGAUGUGAGGAUGAACACCGAGCUGGUUGUUGGGACCGAUGGAAGGGAAAUAAGGUGGAGCCACGAGCUGGGUGGUGAGAUAGUCAUGGUGUGAGGAAAAUAGAGGGAGGCAUUAUGUUGGAG
rnacentral:sRNA from 2 species